AAUACCCCGGGUUCAUGACGGUACCGUAAGAAUAAGCACCGGCUAACUUCGUGCCAGCAGCCGCGGUAAUACGUAGGGUGCAAGCGUUAAUCGGAAUUACUGGGCGUAAAGGGUGCGCAGGCGGUGAUGUAAGUCAGGUGUGAAAUCCCCGGGCUUAACCUGGGAAUUGCAUUUGUGACUGCAUGGCUGGAGUGCGGCAGAGGGGGAUGGAAUUCCGAGUGUAGCAGUGAAAUUCGUAGAUAUUCGGAGGAACACCGAUGGCGAAGGCAAUCCCCUGGUCCUGUUCUGACGCUCAUGCACGAAAGCGUGGGGAGCAAACAGGAUUAGAUACCCUGGUAGUCCACGCCGUAAACGAUGUCAACCGGUUGUUGGUCAUUCA
rnacentral:rRNA from 1 species